CCCCUUUGCAAUCCCUUCACUGAAAUGCAUCCCCACACAUGCUUUUCCCAGUGAACACCAAGCCUGUAAGUUGCUUUUCCAAGCCAAGAAACGUUUACAAGAGGUCACGCCACAGAGAACAGGCUCUGCACAUUUCCUAAGAGGGUCACACUACAUAGAAUAUCCACCAGAGACAAAGCGUUCCCAUCCGGUUUCCCACUUCUUUUGGCAUCAACGCUGCUUUUCUGGGUAGGUGAAGUGGCAAACACAUGCAUUAGGAAAAGGAAACAUAACUAUGUUUUCCUCUAUUGCUUAUCCCAGCCCGAAUUCCUCAGUGGACUUCUAGGGUCUAACAGAAUGAUUCUUGCUACUAAAGCCAAUUACUAUGUUGAGCAUUUGGGACUCUCCCCUUCACACACACAGAGGCACCCAACUUUGGAUGGCUUUUUUUCUUCCCUAGAACAACAUUGAGAUAAUUUUCCUCUUAGUUAGACAUUAGGAAAAACUCUAGUGGUACCAACAGUUAAUCAGGGCAAUAGGCUGCACUGCCUCCCUAGGCAAUCCUGCUGUCAAAGGCUUUUAAGGCCAUGCUAGCUUGGCAUCGGGUCAGGAAAGGUUUAGACAGAGCUUUAUCCUGCCUUGGGGCAAGGGGACAGACCCAAAGGGCUGAGAGGGGCCUGCAGCACUCAUCUCUGGCAGCUUCACAAAACACCUCCUAAGCCUGCAGAGUGCAGUUUAUUGCCCUCCCUUGGGCACAGGGCCCGAGGCAGCUGCAGGGGCAGUGUGCCGAGUGUCUGGAAAGCAAAGGGGAAUUUUGCCUCUCUGAGCUGUGACCCUGGUGACAGAGCAAGGGAUCUGCUUCAGCGUGGCAGCUGUAGCUGCUGCAUGCAGCUGGAAAAGGGCAGCAAUGCCACUUGUGUGGGAGCAGGGAGGCAAAGCGAAAGGGAGGAUUCUGAGGCAUUCGCAAGGCAGUUUGCACUAGCAGAAUGAAAGAGUCCCCUGUGGUGUAGGAUGGUGAGGAAAGGACGGGAGAAAGUAAACAACAGGAUGGGAAGAGGAACCCCCACCCGAGGCUGCUGAAAGCAGUUACACCCCAGUCACCCCAACAAGCUUCUCUGGAUGCAGUUAUGCAGCUGCAAGCAUGGAAAAGAGCAGGCAGCUCUGAGGAGUGCCAGGAUCCGGCCUAUGAGAAACACUGGAAACAAACACAGAUCAAAGGGAAACACCAAGCUGUAUACACAGCUGGGGCUGUCUUCCCCUGUUAAAAGAGAUGGGCACGUAGGUUUUAAAUGCAAGCUCUUUGUGUGUGCUUGCACAUAACUGUGUGCAUCUGUGCAAAUGUGACUACUCGCCUCUUGACAUUACCAAAGCGUGGCUAAUGAGUGGUAUUUUCUGAGCUGUGUGGAAGAUUCCCAUGCAGCUGGGCAAAGUCUGACCGGGCAACUCAGCUCACCCAAGGGAACAAGGGCAAAUAGGUGGGAAUGAAAGACAUGGGAGAUAUAAAUCAACCUCUUUUUAGCCUCCGAUUUCUACAUUAAACCUGCUCCCCUGCUCCCCCUUUCAGAAUAACUCAUUCAAAGAAUUUCACUGAGUUUUCAGAAGGAGCAGGGCACUUCCCGUCUAAGUGCUGGACUUGAGACAUGGGGAAUUGCAGGGAAUUACCCCAAGUUCAACAGGUUGUGUAUUUCAGUAGCUUUGGAAAGUCCCUCCUGGGAAGAAAAUGUGGAGAACUUCCUGGAAGAGCCAGAGCAAUUCCUCCUGCAUGAUCAAGCCCUGAAUGGGAAGAGCAGAGGCACACACUGUGGUGGCAGAUAGAAAUGCUGGCAGCUGCCUGUUUUUGGGUCCUGAGACACUCUUGGCUGACCAAGCUCUUCUUCAAGGCUAGGAACAGCCACAGUGAGCUCCUCAGGGCUGAUCUCACCACUGAACCUCCCUGUUCAGUUCCUUUUCUUUCCUGGGCUGUUCACAAGGAGAUCUACCCAUAUACAAAUGAGCAGCAGAAUUGAGUCCAGCGUCAACUUCCUUUUCCUUUCCACAUAUCCCCUCUGAAAGACAUGUGGCUGUGCCAGCCUUCACCUUAUCCAUGCCCUUCCUCUACAAAUACACACAUUUAUUCACAUGAAGAACAGUGUCUACUGAAUUCCCUCCCUUCGUUGUUGCAUUAUUCACUGUCCUGGACAGUAAGGUUUGGUACAGGGACCCUUGGCUCUACUCUCCACAUGACUAGGCAUAUCUACAGCACUGUAGAGACAACUAGGGAGGAGCAACAACUGCCCAAGCGAAGGAGCAAGUAUUCAUCUGAGAACCAUUAAGAGCUGUGCUUCUAAAUGAUUCAGAUGCUUUUAAAUAUUCCACCUUAGCUCAGCAACCAGGCAACUGGGAGAUGGCAGCCUGCAUUUGACUUUAUAAGCAUGACUAAGUUCUGUGCAGCUGUUUACUACCUACCCUGAUAAACACCACACCCGUAUCAGACAAACUGUUAUCAGCCUGGACCAUGCAUGAACCCGCUGAUACCGUUCACAGACUCUGUUUCCAUGCACGGAACGCUGCACGUGAAGCUCAGUCCUGUUUCCACUGGAGGUUUCGGUGUCUAAGCCUUUUUGUAUCAGUUUCUGUUAUGCCUCCUUCUUUUCCUCAGCCUUUCCUGGGCAGAAACCCUUGUAUAAGAUGUAACACUGUGUAACUGCUAUAUCCCCUUUCCUGCCUCACCUUCUGAGAGCUGAACAUACUAUUUGUGGAAUUUCCCAUUCACGGCAAUCCCUUCAUCUUGAGUCCUGAGGUACUCAAACUCCUGAGCAAAACAAUAGAAGCAAAAAGCAGCCUUCCUUUGCAAGAGCUUUUCAUUUUUCCCUAAGUAAGUCAUGUUGCUUUAUGAAUGCACUCUCAAAGGUAAGUAAUUAACAGGCAAGAGGGACAGAAAAUCUCAUUACACAGAUAAUGGGAAGUGAUGCUCAGGCAGCAAUGUACACAUAAAGGAUACCUUCAAAAGACAGGCCUUAAUUUUUUUUUCAUGGAACAUCAGGCAGAAGAGCUGACUCAUCCACUGCUCUGGAAUCCAGGGAGUCCUCUGUAUUCUUCCAGACUGGGCCAAAUCCAAAACCUUUAUAUGAGACUCAGCCUGCACUGACAGACUCAAGUGUCACCUCUGAAAAGGGGAUACUCCAGUAUUCAAAGGCACUGGGAGGAUUUACCAGAGAGCAAACACAAAGAGCACUAGGCAGAGGUGAUCUGCAUCUCUACACACAUUCAAACUCCCAAGGUACAUGGAAAGGGAGGCAGCUAAAAUGACACCAUCAACUGCUAUGUUCUGCCAUGGCCCUGACUUAGCCCUGUCCAUGUUACCCAGUGGUUUCAUGGGAGAAGAAUUCCUGACCCUUGGUUGCAUAUUGCCCAUUUAAUUGUUUUAUGGUUGUCACAUGCACUUUUGGGAGGGAACCUGCCUGGUCUGUUUGCCCACAGCUAUGCAAACUGCUUGGGGUGACCAGCACCAUUUGCAGCCAGGCAACAGCCACAGCAACUGCGAGAUGAAGCCCUUUGAUUUCCUUUCCCAGACAAGGCUAUGAACAUCUGAUGAGAAAAGGUGUGAGGGCAACAUGACAGCAUCAUGCAGCACCUCCUGGCCCUGGGCAACACUGACAGGGAGGACGCUGAGGGGGACAAAAGGAGUGAGCACAAAGAUUUGAACGAAGCAAAGGUGGGACAGGAGAAACUUUUGUGAAGGAGAGAAUAAGCAAGCAACUGGCUGGAGAUACGGAUCAAUGAAACAAAGGAGUGGGUCGAUGCAAGCUUGUUCCCACAUGCCUCUUACUCCAAGCACUGGAUCCAUGUGUUUCUGCUCCUCGCCUGUUAAAUGGGGGUGUCUCACUGCUCCCAUCCCUGCUUGGCAUACCAUAAAGUUAUAGGUUCUUGGAGCUGUGAUACUUUGGUAAAAAUGCGCUACAUCCAGAAAGAAUGAGAAAGUUUUGUGCCUACAUUUCCUACCCCACGCUGAGUUCCCUUUGGUUAUCACAAGCCUGCAUGGGCUAUGUUGCUAUGGCACCCUCAACACAUAUCAGAUAAAGAUACAGAUCAGCACACACAACUUCUGCCCUAAGAGUACAAAGUCCUGAAACUUGCAGUUAACAGCUAAUCUGUCUCAAAAAUCAUAUUCCUAUUAUCUCAGCUUCUCCAAGGCAGAAACUCCCCAAGUGGCUUUUAGCUAGCAAUGCUUUGAAGCCCGUGAGCAAUGUUAAGACACUUGAACAAGAAAAGUUUUUGCAUUAGAAUUUCAGGCUCUCAGCACUUCAAACAGCACCCCAGGAAAAGACAAAGAAAAAAAAGCCUGCACAGUCUCCAGAGAUGCAUUUGGGAGGGAUAUAGAGCCCUGACGUGUGUGAAAACUGAGCCAGGAAAGCUGAAUGCUCGACUUCCUACCUGGGGCCAGAUUCUUCCCCAGCCCAAUCUCACUGAUUGCAGAGGGGAUUUGCCCAGUCUUUAUUGUUCUUUUCAGGACAGUCAUAAACAUACAGAGGGUUCAGCCUGAAAGAAAACUGCAGCAACACACCCAAGUAGAAAUUUGAGGAUGCAAGUUUGGGAAGAGAUUCAAGAACCAAAGCUGGCAAUGCCGCACUCCAGAUACCAUCUAAGUACACAGGACUGCUUUCAUUCCACAUCCACAGCAGCUACCAGACCCCCUCCCGGCUCCCUGAAAGCUGUAAAUAACCAGUAACGCACCAUUUGAUACCUCUUCUAUUCAUCACUCUG